UACGUAGGGUGCAAGCGUUAAUCGGAAUUACUGGGCGUAAAGCGUGCGCAGGCGGCUUUGCAAGACAGAUGUGAAAUCCCCGGGCUCAACCUGGGAACUGCAUUUGUGACUGCAUAGCUUGAGUGCGGCAGAGGGGGAUGGAAUUCCGCGUGUAGCAGUGAAAUGCGUAGAUAUGCGGAGGAACACCGAUGGCGAAGGCAAUCCCCUGGGCCUGCACUGACGCUCAUGCACGAAAGCGUGGGGAGCAAACAGG
rnacentral:rRNA from 1 species